GAUGAACGCUAGCGGCAGGCCUAAUACAUGCAGGUCGUGGGGGAUUAUUUUUUUAGCAAUACAGAGAUAUGAGACCGGCAAUCGGGGGCGGAACACGUACGCAACCUUCUCAAAACUAGUGAAUCAGCCUCCGAAAGGAGGCUUAAUACACCGUAACAUCAUGAAGUGGCAUCACCGUAUUAGUAUAGCGCCGGAGCUUAAAGCUGGGUGGGCAGCUGAUUAGAGGGUUUGCGGGGUAACGGCCCACCAAGUCGAAGAUCAGUAACUGGUGGGAGGGCACGACCAGUCACACGGGGACUGCGCCACGGGCCCAACUCCUACGGGAGGCAGCAGUAAGGAAUAUUGGUCGAUGGACGCAAGUCUGAACCAGACAUGCCGCGUGGAGGAUGAAGGGCCUCUGGCUUGUAAACUUCUUUUAUCUGGGAAGAAAUCUAUCUUUUCUUGGAUAGUUGACGGUACCAGAUGAAUAAGCACCGGCUAACUCCGUGCCAGCCGCCGCAGUAAGAC
rnacentral:rRNA from 1 species